rnacentral:piRNA from 1 species
UGUUUCAAGGUUUGAACACCCUAGCUGGGCUU